UACGGAGGGCGCAAGCGUUGUUCGGAAUCAUUGGGCGUAAAGCGCGUGCAGGCGGCUUGGUAAGUCGGGUGUGAAAUCCCGGGGCUCAACCCCGGAACUGCACCCGAUACUGCCUCGCUCGAGUCCCGGAGAGGAUGGCGGAAUUUCCGGUGUAGAGGUGAAAUUCGUAGAUAUUCGCAAGAACACCAGUGGCGAAGGCGGCUGACUGGUCCGGUUCUGACGCUGAGGCGCGAAAGCGUGGGGAGCAAACAGG
rnacentral:rRNA from 1 species